GAUGAACGCUGGCGGCGUGCCUAAUACAUGCAAGUCGAGCGAACAGACGAGGAGCUUGCUCCUCUGAUGUUAGCGGCGGACGGGUGAGUAACACGUGGAUAACCUACCUAUAAGACUGGGAUAACUUCGGGAAACCGGAGCUAAUACCGGAUAACAUGUUGAACCGCAUGGUUCAACAGUGAAAGACGGUCUUGCUGUCACUUAUAGAUGGAUCCGCGCCGCAUUAGCUAGUUGGUAAGGUAACGGCUUACCAAGGCAACGAUGCGUAGCCGACCUGAGAGGGUGAUAGGCCACACUGGAACUGAGACACGGGCAAGACUCCUACGGGAGGCAGCAGUAGGGAAUCUUCCGCAAUGGGCGAAAGCAUGACGGAGCAAAGCCGCGUGAGUGAAGAAGGUCUUCGGAUCGUAAAACUCUGUUAUUAGGGAAGAACAAAUGUGUAAGUAACUAUGCACGUCUUGACGGUACCUAAUCAGAAAGCCACGGCUAACUACGUG
rnacentral:rRNA from 1 species